GCUGCCCACCACUAGUGCCCCAAGUCCCCAUUUCCUUCAUAGACUCCCGUCUCUGGUAGACCAAUGCUGACACUGCCAGAAUCUGUAGAUAGCAAAGAGGAAUAUAUUGUGGGAGCCCCUUCAUGGUGCUGGCGAGAGGCGUGCUGCUGACAUUGUUCAUCGGGUCCAAGACUUGUCAACCUAAAUUCCCUGUCAGCCUAUCAUUUCUGCGUUCUCCCUUUCUUUUCAUUCAGUUUUACAGAUAAGGCAGUGUUAGUGAUGAAAGCUAUACUUUGUGUAAUUUUUAGUGGUACUAUUUGUAGUAUGUAGAUUUUCACCAAAACAGUUUUAGGUUUCAAGAUGAA